GGCUAUUAGCUCAGUUGGUAAAGAGCGUACCCCUGAUAAGGGUAAGGUCUCUGGUUCAAAUCCGGAAUGGCCCA
rnacentral:tRNA from 1 species